UCCCAUUUUUAAAAAAUAAUUGCUUUUGAAUUAAGUUAUAGCAUUUCUAAUUCACAUUAAUGGGGAGGAAGCCCUCUGCAAAUAAAGUUUUCAGAUUGACAGAUUAGUGAACGAAUACAAUUUAGAAGAUUCAAAAAUCAGCUUGGCAGUAUGCACUUUCUUAAUAUCUGUUUAUGAUGAAGUAUAAUUAUAAUUUAUUUAUGAUAGUUCUUCAUGGUAUACCAGCAAAAGCAUUACAGUAUAAAAGAAAAGAAAGGGGUAUUUUUGUCAUUGUAUGACCUCAUGUCUCAGUUUGCACUGUAAAAUCUAGGUGGAUCACUUGAGGCCUGUCAGUGGCAAUGACAUUGGCAGAGAACCACAAACUUCCUCAUUGUCUCAAAAGAUUUUUAACCAGUUUUUCCACAACUCAGAGAAAACGGACUUUAUAAACACUUAACUCUUUUUAUAUCAUUUUUGCCUUUUCCUUUUCCCAGAUUUUCAGAGGAAUUAAUGAAUAUCUUAUUACAACAUUAUAAAAGGUGCUUGGAGCUUUAUUUUGCUUUUCACAGUAUACGUUUGUCUUCAUAUUGUUUUGACUCACAGUGAGUUUACAAAGCAGGAGCCCAUGCCUACAGCGGGGGGCUUGCCUUGCUGCACUGUCUGUACCCCUCAGAAUCCCCUGAAUAUUAGAUGGGCCUUUUCUGUUGCUCAGUUUAUCAAUAGUUUAAACUGUUUUUUGAAAUGCUUAUUUUUGUAUUAAAUAAAAGAAAAAUAAAGAAGAGAUAAGUAAAAUGUAUUUUUGUUUAAGGCAUUUACAUUUUCAUUUUGACUAUGAGUACCAGAUUUCCAAAUCAAGACUUACAUAUUCACUGAAUAACACUCUUUAAAUUAAGAAUUGCUGUAAGAAUUUAAGUGGGGGUACCUAUCCAGUUAGGAAAAUAUUGAACCACAAAAAAAGCCAUGCUGUGUCCCAUGCACCGAGACUAAAUCUUGGAGGACACCCUAAAGUCUUAGGAAGGUAACUGCAACCUGUCCAUAACCUACCAAAUAGAUGACAUAAUAAAAAGGAUUUUCUGAUCAAAUAUAUUUGAGAAACACCGAGUCAAAGUUAAACAGGUGUAUUUAUGGUAGUACUUAGGGAUUUAAGUUCGUAUAUGCAUUGAGAUAGCAAGAUGCCAAAAAUGCCCACUUGCUUGACCACAGACCCUACGUACCUCAGAGUCUCCCUUCCAACUGGUAAACACUUCAGAAAUGUCCCCAUAUAAUAAUUUUGCACUUAAAUUUCCAGUUUAUCAUACUGUUUUGAAAAGAGGCUGUUGUAUGCUUAGUUGAAUCUUGUUUUCCUGAGAGCUGGAAAACUAUUUUCAUUUUUACCCUUAUUAUGGGAAAACUUUAAAAUGUACUAGCAAAUGCACACAAAACUCU